GCAACAUUCUAUCUAUGCAGGCUUUAACACGAUUUAUGCAAGCUUUGAGACAGUCUAUACAAGCUUCUAGACAAUCUAUCUAUGCAGGCUUCAAGACAAUCAACACUGGCUUUGAGACAAUCUAUGCCGGCUUCGAGAAUAUACACGGGCUUCAAGACAAUCUAUGCUGGCUUUGAGAAAAUCUAUGCGAGCUUCAAGCAAAUCUACUUGGGCUUUGUGACAAUAUAUCUCUGCAGGCUUUGACACAAUCUAUGCAGGCUUUGAGACAAUGUAUAUAUACAAGCUUUGAGACAAUCUACCUACAUGCACUUUGAGACAAUCUACACAAGUGUCAAGACAAUCUGCAUUGGCUUUGAGACAAUUUACCCUGGCUUUGAUACAAUCUACACUGGCUUUGAGACAAUGUAUAUGCACAAGCUUCAAAACAAUCUAUCUAGGCAUGCUUCGAGACAAUCUAUACAGGCUUUAAGACAAUAUCUAUGCAGGCUUCACAACAAUCCAUGUAAGCUUUGGUACAAUUUAUGCAGACUUCAAGACAAACUAUGUAGGCUUUGAGACAAUAUAUGCUUGCUUCGAGACAAUCUACACUUGUUUAGAGACAAUGUAUGUAUACCGGCUUCAAGACAAUCUAUCUAUGUUGCUUUGAGACAAUCUACACAGCUUUGAGAUGAUCUAUGUGGGCUUCAAAACAAUCUAUACAACCUUCAAGACAAUCUAUGUGGGCUAUGAGAAAAUCUAUGUGGCCAGUGAGCCAAUCUAUGCCAGCUUUGAGAACAUAUAUCUAUGCGUGCUUUGAGACAAUCAACACAAACUUUGAGACAAUCUAUGUGGGCUUUGAGACAAUCUAUCUCCAUGGGCUUCAAGAUUAUCUAUCUAUGUGAGCUUGUAGACAUAUCUAUGCAAGCUUGAGACAAUCUAUGCAGGUUUUGAGACAAUCUACACUGGCUUCAAGACAAUCUAUCUAUACAGGCUUGAAGCCAAUCUACACAAGCUUUUAGACAAUCUACACAGACUUUGAAACUAUCUACAAGAGCUUUGAGACAAUCUAUAUCAGCUGUGAGACAAUCUAUCUAGGCAGGCUUCGAGACAGUUUACUUGAGCUUUGAGAAAAUCAUCCUAUAUGUGCUUCCAAACAAUAUACUCUGGCUUUGAGACAAUCUACACUGGCUUCGAGAAUAUCUACACAUGCUUCAAGACAACCUACACCCUCUUUGAGAAAAUCUACCCCAAGUUCAAGACCAUAUAUCUACACAGGCUUUGAGACAAUAUAUCUACACAAGCUUUGAGACAAUCUGUGCAAGCUACCAGACAAUUUAUGUGGGCAAUGAGCCAAUCUAUGUAGGCUUCAGGAAUAUGUAUCUACUCAGGCUUCAAAACAAUCAACACAGACUUCGAGACAACCUACACAAGCUUUGAGACAAUCUAUUUACACAGGCAUUGCGACAAUUUACGUGGGCUACGAGACAAUCUACGCUGGCUUCAAGAUGAUCUACACUAGCUUAGACACAAUCUAUAUAUGCAGGGUUUGAGACAAUCUAUCCACGCCUACAGAGAACCAGCUUGGUCAUGAGACCCCCACCCAGGCAGUGCUGAAGGUAUUUGAGACAAUCUGCACCAUCUUUGAGACAAUCUACAUGAGCUUUGAGACAACCUACUACAAACUUCAAGACAAUCUACAUGAACUUUGAGACAAUCUACAUGAACUUCAAGACAAUCUACACGAACUUCUAGACAAUCUACACGAACUUCCAGACAAUCUACCACAAACUUUGAGACAAUCUACAUGAACUUUGAGAUAAUCAACCAUGAACUUCAAGAUAAUCUACACAAACUUUGAGACAAUCUACACAAACUUCAAGACAAUCUACCACAAACUUUGAGACAAGCUACAUGAACUUCAAGAUAAUCUACCAUGAACUUCGAGACAAUCAACCAUGAUCUUCAAGACAAUCUACCACAAACUUCAUGACAAUCUAUGCAAACAUUGAGAAAAUCUAUGUGAACUUCAAGACAAUCUACAUGAACUCGGAGACAAUCUAUGUGAACUUCACAACAAUCUACACGAACUCUGUGACAAUCAACCAUGAACUUCAAGACAAUCUACACGAACUUCCAGACAAUCUACACAAACUCCAAGACAAUCUACACAAACUUUGAGACAAUC